UACGAAGGGGGCUAGCGUUGUUCGGAAUUACUGGGCGUAAAGGGCGUGUAGGCGGCCCGUUAAGACAGGUGUGAAAUUCCUGGGCUCAACCCAGGACGUGCGCCUGUGACUGGCGGGCUUGAGUCCGGGAGAGGAUGGUGGAACUCCCAGUGUAGAGGUGAAAUUCGUAGAUAUUGGGAAGAACACCCGUGGCGAAGGCGGCCAUCUGGACCGGUACUGACGCUAAGGCGCGACAGCGUGGGGAGCAAACACGG
rnacentral:rRNA from 1 species